rnacentral:rRNA from 1 species
UACGUAGGGCGCAAGCGUUUGUCCGGAAUUAUUGGGCGUAAAGAGCUCGUAGGUGGCUUGUCGCGUCUGCCGUGAAAGCCCGGGGCUUAACCCCGGGUCUGCAUUCGAUACGGGCUAGCUAGAGUGUGGUAGGGGAGAUCGGAAUUCCUGGUGUAGCGGUGAAAUGCGCAGAUAUCAGGAGGAACACCGGUGGCGAAGGCGGAUCUCUGGGCCAUUACUGACGCUGAGGAGCGAAAGCGUGGGGAGCGAACAGG